rnacentral:rRNA from 1 species
AUUGAACGCUGGCGGCAGGCCUAACACAUGCAAGUCGAGCGGAUGAAGGGAGCUUGCUCCUGGAUUCAGCGGCGGAAGGGUGAGUAAUGCCUAGGAAUCUGCCUGGUAGUGGGGGAUAACGUCCGGAAACGGGCGCUAAUACCGCAUACGACCUGAGGGAGAAAGUGGGGGAUCUUCGGACCUCACGCUAUCAGAUGAGCCUAGGUCGGAUUAGUUAGUUGGUGGGGUAAAGGCCUACCAAGGCGACGAUCCGUAACUGGUCUGAGAGGAUGAUCAGUCACACUGGAACUGGGACACGGUCCAGACUCCUACGGGAGGCAGCAGUGGGGAAUAUUGGACAGUGGGCGAAAGCCUGAUCCAGCCAUGCCGCGUGUGUGAAGAAGGUCUUCGGAUUGUAAAGCACUUUAAGUUGGUAUGAAGGGCAGUAAGUUAAUACCUUGCUGUUUUGACGUUACCAACAGAAUAAGCACCGGCUAACUUCGUG